UACAGAGGUGGCAAGCGUUGUUCGGAAUUACUGGGCGUAAAGGGCGCGUAGGCGGCCUUCUAAGUCAGACGUGAAAUCCCUCAGCUUAACUGGGGAACUGCGUCUGAUACUGAGUGGCUUGAGUGCAGGAGAGGAAUGCGGAAUUCCAGGUGUAGCGGUGAAAUGCGUAGAUAUCUGGAGGAACACCGGUGGCGAAGGCGGCAUUCUGGACUGUAACUGACACUGAGGAACGAAAGCCAGGGGAGCAAACGGG
rnacentral:rRNA from 1 species